UGGUUAAAUGACAAUAUUAAAAUAGAUGGAAAACCAAUUAAUUAUAAACAUUAUUCAAGCAAAGGGAUUACUUAUAUAAACGACAAGUUUGACGCCCAAGGU